rnacentral:rRNA from 1 species
GCGAUCCCAGGUCAGGCGGGGCCACCCGCUGAGUUUAA